rnacentral:tRNA from 1 species
UGUAAUCAGGUGUUUUAGCAUGUUCUGUUUUGGUCAGGGAGGGGAUUGAUCUCGAUUAUAA